rnacentral:tRNA from 1 species
GCCAGUGUGGCUCAGUGGAUAGAGCGUCGGCCUGCGGACUGAAGGGUCCCAGGUUCAAAUUCUGGCCAAGGGCA